rnacentral:tRNA from 1 species
GAGCCAUGGGCUCAAUAGUUAGAGCUUUUCACUUCCGAUUAACAGGUCGCGAGUUCAAGCCUCGCGUAGUGCA